rnacentral:misc_RNA from 1 species
GAGAAACAGAGUGCGAGAGUUGGAUAUUAUAGGAGGGGCGUCACUGGUAGAUGCUAGCUAAAAUUUUGGUUAGAGAUUUGCGUGAGGGAGGUAAUGAUAAUUUUCCAAUUUGUUAAACUGCUGCUCUUGUUUGAAUUUCAAUGUUGUGAGUUUUUCCCCCAUUUUGGUUGUGUUCCUCUCUAUUUGAGUGAGUCGGCAUUCCAUCAAUGAUUGGGUCAUGUUCUCCAUUCUAGUAUGGCAUUCUAAUGGCAGUUGGACUAAUUGAUGGAGUAAAGAAACUCAAAACCUUGAAUUAAUAACAAAUAAGAACAAAGUAAAGAAAUGUUAGUAGGAAGAAGAAAAGAAUUUUAUUCAAAAUACCCAAAUGGUUCCAGGUGUUUACAAGAUAAGACUAUCCCUCGCGCACACCAGCAGUAGAUCACUGCCCCCGAGCCAUGCUAGCUGGAAAAUUGUAGUUUCAAUUCAUGCCUCCUAGUCUACCCUUUCUCUUCCUAUAUAUAAUUCUCCUAGCA